AGUGAACGCUGGCGGUAGGCCUAACACAUGCAAGUCGAACGGCAGCACAGUAAGAGCUUGCUCUUACGGGUGGCGAGUGGCGGACGGGUGAGGAAUACAUCGGAAUCUACUUUUUCGUGGGGGAUAACGUAGGGAAACUUACGCUAAUACCGCACACGACCUACGGGUGAAAGCAGGGGAUCUUCGGACCUUGCGCGAUUGAAUGAGCCGAUGUCGGAUUAGCUAGUUGGCGGGGUAAAGGCCCACCAAGGCGACGAUCCGUAGCUGGUCUGAGAGGAUGAUCAGCCACACUGGAACUGAGACACGGUCCAGACUCCUACGGGAGGCAGCAGUGGGGAAUAUUGGACAAUGGGCGCAAGCCUGAUCCAGCCAUACCGCGUGGGUGAAGAAGGCCUUCGGGUUGUAAAGCCCUUUUGUUGGGAAAGAAAAGCAGCAGGUUAAUACCCCGCUGUUCCGACGGUACCCAAAGAAUAAGCACCGGCUAACUUCGUG
rnacentral:rRNA from 1 species